rnacentral:sRNA from 1 species
ACCGUUGUCCUUCUUGGUAGUAAGGUGA